rnacentral:lncRNA from 8 species
AUGAGGAGAAAUACCCAUCUUCCAUCAUUCCACCCAUCUUCCAUGUCUAAACCACCAUCUACACCACCACCAUCUACACCUCCACCACCACCAUCUACACCACCACUAUCUACAACCCCAUCUACACCACCACCAUCUACACCUCCACCAUCAUCUACACCACCAUCUACACCACCACAAUCUUCAGCACUAUCUACACCACCACCACCAUCUACACCACCACCAUCUACACCACCACCACCACCAUCUACACCACCACCACUACUAUCUACAGUACCACUAUCUACACCACCACCAUCUACACCACCACCACCACGUACACCACCAUCUACACCACCACCACCAUUUACACCACCACCACCAUCUAAACAUCCACCACAACCAACUACAGCACCACCAUCUACACCACCACUAUCUACAACCCCAUCUACACCACCACCAUCUACACCUCCACCAUCAUCUACACCACCAUCUACACCACCACAAUCUUCACCACUAACUACACCACCACCACCAUCUACACCACCACCAUCUACACCAACACCACCAUCUAUACCACCAUCUACACCACCAUCUACACCACCACCACCUACACCACCACCACUAUCUACACCACCACCAUUUACACUACCAUCACUAUCUACACCACCACCAUCUACACCAACACCACCACCAUACCACCAUCUACACCACCAUCUACACCACCACCAUCUAUACCACCAUCUACACCACCAAAAUCUACACCACCACCACCAUCUACACCACCAACAUCUACACCACCACUAUCUACACCACCAUCUACAACCACAUCUCCACCACCACCACAAUCUACACCACCACCACCAUCAUCUACACCACCACCAUCUACACCACCACCACCAUCUACACCAACACCACCAUCUACACCACCACCAUUUACACCACCAGUAUCUACACCACCACCACCAUUUACACCACCACUAUCUACAUUACCAGCAGCAUCUACACCACCAUCUACACCACCACCAUCUACACCACCACCACCAUCUACACACCAACUAUCUACACCAUCACCAUCUACACCACCACCACCAUCUACACCACCACAUCUACACCACCACCAUUUACACCACCACCAUCUACAUCAUUACCAGCAGCAUCUACACCACCACCACCAUCUACACCACCACCAUCUACACCACCACCAUUUACACCACCACUAUCUACACCAUCACCACCACCGUCUACACCACCACCACAAUCUACACCACCAUUUACACCACCACAAUCUACACAACCAUCACCAUCUACAUCACCACCAUCUACACCAACACCACCAUCUAUACCACCAUCUACACCACCAUCUACACCACCACCACCAUGUAUACCACCAGCACCAUCUAUACCACCACCACCUACACCACCACCACCAUCUACACACCAACUAUCUACACCACCACCAUCUACACCACCACCACACCAUCUACACCACCACAUCACCAUACCACCAUCUACACCACCAUCUACACCACCACCACCAUCUAUACCACCACCAUUUACACCACCACCAUUUACACCACCACUAUCUACACCACCAUCACCACCACCGUCUACACCACCACCACAAUCUACACCACCAUUUAUACCACCACAAUCUACACCACCACUAACUACACCACCACCACCAUCUACACCACCACCAUCUACACCACCACCAUCUACACCAACACCACCACCAUACCACCAUCUACACCACCAUCUACACCACCACCAUCUAUACCACCAUCUACACCACCAAAAUCUACACCACCACCACCAUCUACACCACCAACAUCUACACCACCACUAUCUACACCACCAUCUACACCACCACCAUCUACACCACCUCCACCCCAUCUACACCACCAUCUACACCACCAUCUACACCCCCACCAUCAUCUACACCACCAUCUACACCACCAUCUACACCACCACCACCAUUUACCCCACCAUCUCUACACCACCAUCUACACCACCACCAUCUACACCACCAUCUACACCACCACCAUCUACAACACCACCACUAUCUACACCUCCACCACCAUCUACACCACCACCACAACCAUCUAUACCACCAUCAAUACCACCACCACCUACACCACCACCAUAUACACCACCACCACCAUCUACACCACCACCAUCUACACCACCACCACCACCUACACCACCGCCACCACUUUCACCACCACCACCAUCUACACCACCACCACCAUUUACACCACCACCACAAUCUAA